rnacentral:misc_RNA from 1 species
AACGCACCUUGCGCUCUUUGGUUUUCCAGAGAGCAUGCCUGUUUGAGUGUCACGAACCUCUCAACCCCGCCAAACUUUAUUGUUUGGUAGUUUGGGUUUGGAUCAUGGUCUUUUGUCGGCUUUGGUCGACUGGACUGAAAUACAACAAGCUGAAUCAGUAUACUUGCGGCUUGACCUAUCGUUGUAAGAACUAUUAAUUCGAUAGGAACGCAUUAGAAUUGAAUGAGCUUCCCCAAACUGUCUUCGGACAAUAGUGCAAUCAGACCUCAAAUCAGGUAGGACUACCCGCUGAACUUAA